rnacentral:rRNA from 1 species
ACCGCGGAACGGCUCAUUACAACAGGUAUAAUUUACUUGAUCUUGAAAGAAUCCUACUUGGAUAACUGUGGUAAUUCUAGAGCUAAUACAUGCCCUAAAGCUCUGACCUCGCGGGAAGAGUGCAUUUAUUAGAUCAAAACCAAGCGGCUUCGGCCGUCUACCACUGACUUAAAGUAACUAAGCUGAUCGUAUGGUCUUGUACCGACGACGUAUCUUUCAAGUAUCUGCCUUAUCAACUUUCGAUGGUAGUGUAGUGGACUACCAUGGUUGUGACGGGUAACGGAGGAUAAGGGUUCGACUCCGGAGAGGGAGCUUGAGACACGGCUACCAUGUCUAAGGACAGCAGCAGGCGCGCAAAUUACCCACUCUCAGAACGAGGAGGUAGUGACGAAAAAUAACGAGACCGUUCUCUAUGAGGCCGGUCAUCGGAAUGGGUACAAUCUAAACCCUUUAACGAGUAUCUAUGAGAGGGCAAGUCUGGUGCCAGCAGCCGCGGUAAUUCCAGCUCUCAAAAUGCAUAGAAUUAUUGCUGCGGUUAAAAAGCUCGUAGUUGGAUCUGUGCUGGAAACUGGGUCCGCCUUCGGGUGUGCACUCAGCUUUCCGGCUUUUUGCUGGUUUUCCCGUUGUGGCCUUUACCGGUUGCAGCGGGUGGCUGGCGAGUUUACCUUGAAGAAAUCAAAGUGCUUAAUACAGGCGAUUUGCUUGAAUGUGGUGCAUGGAAUAAUAGAAAAGGAUUUCGGUUCUCUUUUAUUGGUUUUACGAGCUGAGAUAAUGGUUAACAGAGACAAACGGGGGCAUUCGUAUCGUUGCGUGAGAGGUGAAAUUCUUGGACCGCAGCGAGACGAACUACAGCGRAAGCAUUUGCCAAGAAUGUCUUCAUUAAUCAAGAACGAAAGUCAGAGGUUCGAASGCRAWCAAAUACCGCCCUASUUCUGACCGUAMACGAUGCCWACUAACGAUCCGCCGGCGGAUAUUUCKCCCUGGUGGGGAGCUUCCCGGAAACGAAAGUCUUCCGGUUCCGGGGGAAGUAUGGUUGCAAAGCUGAAACUUAAAGGAAUUGACGGAAGGGCACCACCAGGAGUGGAGCCUGCGGCUUAAUUUGACUCAACACGGGGAAACUCACCCGGCCCGGACACCGUGAGGAUUGACAGAUUGAAAGCUCUUUCUUGAUUCKGUGGUUGGGUGGUGCAUGGSCGGUCUUAGUUA